GACGAACGCUGGCGGCGUGCUUAACACAUGCAAGUCGAGCGGUAAGGCUCCUUCGGGAGUACACGAGCGGCGAACGGGUGAGUAACACGUGAGCAAUCUGCCCUUCACUUUGGGAUAACUUCCGGAAACGGAAGCUAAUACCGAAUACGACCACUUCCGGCAUCGGAUGGUGGUGGAAAGUUCCGGCGGUGAAGGAUGAGCUCGCGGCCUAUCAGCUUGUUGGUGGGGUAACGGCCCACCAAGGCUUCGACGGGUAGCCGGCCUGAGAGGGUGACCGGCCACACUGGGACUGAGACACGGCCCAGACUCCUACGGGAGGCAGCAGUGGGGAAUAUUGGACAAUGGGCGAAAGCCUGAUCCAGCAACGCCGCGUGAGGGAUGACGGCCUUCGGGUUGUAAACCUCUUUCAGCGGGGACGAAGCGAAAGUGACGGUACCCGCAGAAGAAGCACCGGCCAACUACGUGCCAGCCGCCGCAGUAAGAC
rnacentral:rRNA from 1 species